UCGAGAAUUUUUCACAAUGGGGGAAACCCUGAUGGAGCGACGCCGCGUGGGGGAUGAAUGGCUUCGGCCCGUAAACCCCUGUCAUUUGCGAACAAACCUUUUCGUUGAACAGGCGAAAAGCUGAUUGUAGCGGAAGAGGAAGGGACGGCUAACUCUGUGCCAGCAGCCGCGGUAAUACAGAGGUCCCAAGCGUUGUUCGGAUUCACUGGGCGUAAAGGGUGCGUAGGUGGUCAGAUAAGUCUGAUGUGAAAUCUCGGAGCUUAACUCCGAAACUGCAUUGGAUACUAUUUGGCUGGAGGAUCGGAGGGGGGACUGGAAUUCUCGGUGUAGCAGUGAAAUGCGUAGAUAUCGAGAGGAACACCAGUGGCGAAGGCGAGUCCCUGGACGAUUCCUGACACUGAGGCACGAAAGCUAGGGGAGCAAACAGGAUUAGAUACCCGCGUAGUCC
rnacentral:rRNA from 1 species